GGCAGCACGGGCGCGGUUGCGGCGGAGUCCGGAGGCGGCGCUGACAGGACGGCGCGCGGAGGCGCUGCGGCCCGCGGCUGCCGCCCCCGGCCCGGAGCGGCACGGCCCGGGGCAGCCCGGCUGCGCUGAGCUCGGUCCGGCCCGGAGCAGCCCGGCCGCGCUGAGCCCGGCCCGACCCGGCUGUGCUGAUCCCGGCCCGGGGCAGCCCGGCUGCGCUGAGCCGGGCCCGAGGAAGAAGCAGAAGUUUUAACCAUCUUCCCAUGGCAUCUGACUUUUUUGAAGAGGAGGACUUUUCAACCACUUGCUGGAAGGGAAAUAGUUUGUUUCAAGACUCUUAUGUUGUUCAUCAGUGCUGUUAGCAAACGUGGGGCUUGAGGAUACAUUUGCUGCUUCUCUGCAUUUUUGCUGAAGGUCCAUGCAUUUGAAGGAAGGACCUUGCUGUCUCCCAGCUCCUGUGGGCAUUAGGUUUCAUGAAUGUCUCUUGGGAAGAGGACAGCUCUGUAGAGCCUAAGUUUCAAAAAUUGCAUCCAAGAGAGAAGCAGUGAGAUGCGCAGUGGGGAAAAUGAACCCAGCAGUCCAUCCUAUCCUGUACCUGCCUGAAUAUGGGAAGUGACCCAGUAGAAAGCCAGAAUGCAGCUGGGCUUGCAGUAUUUUUAACCAUAUUAAGUCCUGUUCAGAGUUAAUGAUGAGCUCAGUGAGAUGGUCUCAGCAAUGCUGAAGAAGGGAAGGACAGAAUUGGAAGGCAGGAGCUAUUUCAAAGCAGCAUUCUUCAUCUUUCUGUAAUGCCCAAACAUGAAGACUUUAUAAACUUCAUUAGUGUCAUUCCCAAAAUGAAGUAGUGUCCUUGGGCUGGUGGCAACAGCUGGAGUUGCAGAAUUCAUAAAUAAUUCAGAGAAGGAUAAAGGAUCCUGCCAUCAAUGACUGAGCCUCCCUGAAAUCUUAUCAGCUCACCAAGAUGAGAAGGAUAACAGGAAGGAGGAGUGCUUAAGUGGCUUUAAUGACAAUUAAUUUCUACUGUUUAUCAAAUGACAGGUUGUUUUUUCCUCAAAACUUGAUUGUCAUAAGAUGCUUUUGGAAGUAAUUUUUGUAAAAUAAAAUGACAGUUUUUAAGCUACAAAGAGCUAUUGUAUCUUACUAUUGAAUGUUGUCAUUAUGGUAAAAGGCUGGAAAGUCUAUUUUUGAAGUAAUUUAACUUGCAUACUUCAUUCAUUUAUUUUAAUAUCUGUUGAAUGCCAUGUGAAAAGUUUCUUGCUGGAAUUCUUUUAUUCAAUGGAAUACUUACUGUUACAAUGUUCAAUUUAUUAAUGUCUGAAUUAUUGUUGCCCUAGCCUCCUGCAAAAAGUUUCUUUUUAGUAAUUCUUAAACAAAUAAGGAAUGAAUGAGGUUUUGUCCAUUUUGUGUUUUGAUCAGCAUAUUUUCCCUUUCAGUGAAAGUGUCUUCACUUUUUGGAAUGACACAACAAAAAGAAAAGUGUUUUGGUUUUUGGGUUGUUUUUUUCCCAACAGCACAUGUCUUUUGUGCAAUGAUUUUUUAAUAUAUACACUGCCAAAAUACAAUUACUGGAAGGAGAGAGAGAAGCUGUUGGGAAUGUCAUGUUAUGCCAAAUUAAGAAUUAUUAGCUCUUACUUUCUGUGCAAUCUCUUCGACUAGAACUCGACCUAUUGCGUCUGGCGCGUACUUUGACUCUAGUGGAACUAAUGUGUCCUUGGAGUAGCAUUUCAGAGUAACUUCAGAUUCAUGCUUUUUCACAAGUCUGCUUUAAACUGGUGGGAUUAACUUCAGAGAAGGCGAGAGAUACAGGCUCCUUUGUCAGCAGCUGUGCUGGGUAAAGAAGGAGGCUUCGUGCACGCUUGCUUGCUCAUUCUCUCCCUGCUAGGGAAGCAGACUGAGCUGUUUCCCUGAGCACAUGCAGACUGACUUCAGCCAAAGUGAAUCCUGUUAUCAAAUAUUAGUUAUCAGUGCCCUGGGUCAGUGUGAUGAAAGGACAGGGCAUGCACAGACCAGCUGUGCAGACGUCAUGUCUGGGAAGGGUGCUGUGUUGACAAGAGUUGCUGAGGGCUGGCCCUGCUGUGUCGCCUUUUCAGCAGGUGCAGUUGCAUCUCUUGGAUGUGGUAAAAAUUGGACGUGUUAGAAAGCUGUGCAGAUCUGUCACACAUAAUAUUCACAUUCCGGGGACACACUGGAUAAUGCAGAAUAAACCUGUGCUCUUUGACUUAUUCCUCGUGUGUACCAGUAUGGGGGGAGAGAACUGGUGUGUGUGUGUAUGUGCCAGGCACCUAUUUCAGGAAAAUGUAUCUGGUCAAGGUGUGGGAAUGGUACAAGUGUUUGCAUUUUCUGGAGAACACAGUUUUUACUUUACUCAUCAAAGAGGCUGCCUCAGCCAAUACAUGCCUCAGGAGAACUGCUUUUGAUACAUCAGAUGCCUUGAGUGGAGAAGGGAGAACAGCUCCAGCAGGAGUGGCUGCUGUUGCUUUUCUACAGUGUUGAAUCAGUAGAUGCUGGAGUCUGGUGAGGCAUCCAAGCUCUUGUUAUUCCCUGUGCCAAAAUUAGAAUGGUAUGGAUAAUCUUUAGUACUCAAAGACACAGUGAGUAAAAGCAGUGCACUGAACAGCUCCUUCCACACUGACCCUUCUUGUGGAGUGUAGGUGCCUUCCUGGGCAUACAAAGAACAAGAGAAAGCUGAGAGCAGCAGUGCUGCUUGUGUCUCCUCCUGGGGCACUGCCAGGUGAAAAGAACACAGUCACAGAAAGGAUUGAGCCUUCAGCUCAGGUUUUGAGUUGUCCAUUAUCUUUUAUUAGUCCUUAAGGUAAAGGAUGAGGAAUAUGCAGUGGCCGUACUGCACAUAUGGAAGGGAGGAAAACCAAGUGCCAGGUGUGUGAGGAAGGGGCAGGUGUGGCUCCAGGUGUGAGAGCUGUGCCCUGUUGCAGCAGCCCAGGGUUGGGCCAUGGCUGAGCUCUCAGUGCUGGGUUCAGGAGUGAUGACUGUCACAUGUCUCCCCUGGCCAUGAACUAAGUGAAAAUGACCUCCCCAGCUCUCUGAGACAACCCAUAAUCCAUAGGACUUUUUAUCUUAAAAUGGAUUAUUAAAGUACUGAGAUUCAAGUGUUUAAUGAAAUGCUUGUGAUCGCCUAGGAAUCUAUUUACCUGCCUAAGUAGUAAUACACAGGUAAACCAGUGCUGCAAAAUAACAUCUUACAUAGAGCACUGUCAUGGAUGUUAAGCUGAUGAGUAAAAUUUUACAUCCAAGCACUUAAAACCAUCAAAUAUGAUAGUUAAACUGCCAUACUGUUUAUGUAGUGCUAAAAAGACAACAAAGUAAAACUUCAGGGAAGGCAGAUUUUCUUAUAAAUAUUCUAAAUAAGAGGUUGGUUUCAGGUAGACUCCCUGGCUCUUUGGUGAUUGCUGAAUUUGGUCUGAAUCUAUCAGGAAUCCCAAACACAAUGGUGUGUUUAUUAUUAUAAACACAUGACUUCUAUGUAAGUUCUCCACAAAUAUGUUGGAGAAAACAUAGUUUACCUUCUUAACUGGUACUAUAUGGUUACUUUCUAACUCCUUUAAUUUCAGUUCUAACUUGAUUGAAUAAAAGGUGCAUUCCUGACAAUAAUCUUUGCAUCUGUAAUGGAACACUUGAUUUUAUAUGACUGUUUGCAUACUCCAGACAUAACACAACAUUUUUACAGCAAUAUGUGUUGACAAUACACAGAGAUAAAAAUCAGCUUAUGACAAACUAAGGAGCAAACUUUUAAUAAGACCAAUGAAUCAUUAGAAAUUAUUAGAAAGUGAAUAUUAGAUUUUCUAUCUUUUGAAUGAAGAUGAUAUUUUUAUAGAGGUAUAAGCUUGAACAAAUGGCUGGGGGUGGUAGAGGAAUUCCUCACUGGCUUCUGUAGCUUUUGCAACACCUGGGAUCAGACUGGGUCAUCUUAGACAUCCUUCUGGCUUGGAAGGGAGGGCGAAGUCUCAGUGUGGCAAAUAUAUGUGAAUAGAAUAGCAGCUUCCACAGAAAAGUUACUCAAAGGUAAUUAAUUAUCUUCAAAAAAAGAUUGGGAAAGGCAUUGGGAAUGUUCCUGUCUCCCAGUGCCAUGCCUUUUUCAAAGAUCCUCUUUCACCUGACUGCUUGCUCCUGUGGGGUGUUUCAUUGGCUGAGGUGGGUUUUUCUGGUUCAUCCAUCCUCGCUCCAUCCACAUUAACCAAACAGCACAUAAACAUCUUUUCCAGGACAAGUAUCUUCUACAGAGUGUCUGCUUCUACAAAGUGUAAUAUUGCCUUUCUGCUAGAAAUAAUUAUUAGGUUGAAAAUAAUCUGACAACAUCCUGCUGUGGAUAAAUUAGGUUUGCUCUCUACUAAGAUUAGUUAGCUGGCAUCCAUUCACUAACACGUUACAAGAAAAUUACAAGAAAAUUGCAAGUUGAUUGUAUCCAGUUAUCUGCCUUUUUUCCUGUUUAAUAGGCUUUUUGUUGCCAUGCUGUCACCAAAUGUGUGCAAGUCAUACUUUUCCAAGUGCCCUACAGCCCGGGGAGAUGGUGUUUGCUGUCCCGUACCAUGAAAAGACUUUUGGGCUGAAGUGUUUGGAGAAGGGGAAGGUUGUCUCUGUGUAGAUUUCUGAAUCUUGUGCACCUUUGGUUUUGGCCAACAGGGGUGUGUUCUGCUCUGUGGCAAUCAGUACAUUACCACCACAGUCCAAAAUGCCAGGUAUAAUUAGCUCAGGUGUUUAAAUAGGUGUUGUUAUUUUUCAGCUUGUAUAUACAAGCCUGUUUUCAUGCAGAAGUCCAUAUUUUACUUGGGAAGAAAGCUGUGCAAAUCAGAAAAAGUAUUUUAAGUUAUGUGCUAGUGUUUAAGAUUUUAGAAAUAACUGUGAGGUCUUGUAGGCACCCAGUUUGUGAUAAUUGGGAUGGGGCUGGCCCAGCCUCAUCCCCAAUGGGCACAGCUGUGAGCAGCAGGUGAGCAGCACUGACAGCAAUGAGCCAUGGAGUGCCCAGGGGCACUGAGCAACAACCAAAGGGAGCAGAGGGCACACAGAGGCAGGGCAUGGACAGCGAGGGGCUCACAGGGGCAGGGCAUCAACAAUGAUGGGCACACAGGUGCAGGGCAUGGACAGUGAGGGGCACACAGGGGCAGGGCAUGAACCAUGAGGGGCACACAGGUGCAGGGCAUGAACUGUGAGGGGCACACAGGUGAAAUGCAUUACCAGUGAGGGGCAAACAGGUGCAGGGCAUUAACAAUGAGGGCACACAGGGGCACGGCAUUGACAGUGGGGGGCACACAGGUGCGGUGUGUUAACCAUGAGGGGCACACAGGUGUGGUGCAUCAACAGGAGGGGAUAAAAGGUUGGGCUAAAGAACAAGAAGGACAGAACUGUGCGGCUUUCUGUAGCGGUGUGGUGUUACUCUGUGUGGGCAGAUGCCUGAAGCCUUCUGAUGAGGGCACAAAGUUUGUCAUGGUGACACCAAGAGCUCUGAGGAGGCUCAGGUAAACUCUCAGGUGUGCAGGGUGCCAACAAAGGGGCCCUGAGAGCCUUUGGAGCAGGCCCUGAGCCUUCAGCCAGCACUGAUGCUCCUGAGGAUGAGGAAGGUGCUGCUCAAGUGCUGGACUGAGCAUCUUUGCAUCUCCUGCAUCAUGGAGCAACAGGAGAAGCUUGGCAAGAAGAUGAAAAGGUGACAACAGCAACAGCAUGCCAGAGGUUGUGAUCACACAGGCAGAUGAGUGUUUGGGCAGCUUGGCUGUUGUUGUCCAGCCCUCUGUACCUUGUGGGGGCAGCUGAAAUCCUCAUCCAGUACUGCUUUUGCUCUUUGUGUGUGCUGAUAGCUGCAGGUGAGGAUCAGGGUGUGUGGAGCUGUGUGCAUCUGAGACAGAGGAUUCUGGCUCCAAAAAACACUGAUUAAAUAGGACUCAACCACUGAUACAGACAGUUGAGAAUAAUUUUGGUGGGUUUUUUUAUGUGGCCUCUAGCAGUAUUUAAAGACUGAGAAGAUCCUUGAUAUCUUAUCAUUUUGACUCCUCUUAUUGUUGAACUCUGUGGUUAUACAUAUUUCAGCAUCUUCUUUUCAUGUCUCCCUACGUCUUUAUAACUGUUGGACAAGUCAGUACCUGAGAUGGCUCCUUUUAUGUGUGCUAGAUGUUGUAGAUCCUCCAAGGGAGGGAGUAAUUAAAUUACUGUUUCAAAGGAGUUCUCCACCACACUAAUAACUUAUCUGUAAGCUUUUUCAAGUAGUUGUUUGUACUCUAAAAUGACUAAACUGUUGUAUAAUCUCAAAAUUACAAUAAAUCAUAAUUCCUCUUGGAUGGAGGCAGCUAUGAUGUCUGGAUAUGCAGAACUGCUGAUGUCUGAGAGUUUUAAAUACCACACUUGCAUGUACCUGGGGGAGGGCACAGGAAAAUAUGGACAAUUCCUGCUGCUAUGUGUUCUGCAUAUUCACACCCUGGUUACCUGAGUUCUGGUGUGGGGCCAUCAGCCCCAAGGUUUGGUUAGCUUCUGAAAUCAAUAAUAAACGCCCCUUAUUCCACUUAUCCUGCAAAGAUGUAGUGUAUUUUCUAUUUUCACCCUCACCACCACCAUUUAGUUGGGCACAAAAGAAGGAAAAGGACUGAGGUCCAAGUCCAAAAAGACUUGCCUGAGGUCAAGUUCUCCUCACUGUAUUCUGCCAGGCAUUGUGAGUCCGUCAUGAAAUUGUCCACACAAGGCUUUGGAGACCUGACUGCUGUGAUAAAAGGCAGGCAAAGAUGUGUGUGUUUGGACAGAGGACUCAGCCUUUCCAAGACUGCUCUCUGCUUCCAGGGACAAGACCUGUGUAGUGAGGGAGAGGAGGAGAGGGGAAUACAAGUUUUCAGUCCUGCAGAAUAAAUCCAUGUGUGCCUGAUAAAGUUCUUCCUGCUAAUGGAGUUCAGCCUUUCUUUUUCAUACUGCUGGAUCAAUGAAAUGCUCCUAAAAUAAGCUCCAAUGGCUGGUUUUUAUUACAGCCUUAAGGAAUAGUUUAAUUUUGCCUUAGAAAUGCAUCUGAUAUGGCCAUUUGCUCCUGGGAUCUGUAAGAAGAUUUUUGCCUUCCCUUCAACAAAUGAGUGCUGGUGAUCUUUGGUGACCAGCAGCAGUGUGAACACUGUGUGC